rnacentral:rRNA from 1 species
UACGGAGGAUCCGAGCGUUAUCCGGAUUUAUUGGGUUUAAAGGGUGCGCAGGCGGGAGAUUAAGUCAGCGGUGAAAUUUUGCAGCUCAACCGUAAAAGUGCCUUCGAAACUGGUUUCCUUGAGUGUAGAUGAAGUAGGCGGAAUUUGUGGUGUAGCGGUGAAAUGCAUAGAUAUCACGAGGAACUCCGAUCGCGUAGGCAGCUUACUAAACCAUAACUGACGCUCAUGCACGAAGGCGUGGGGAUCAAACAGGAUUAGAUACCCGUGUAGU